ensembl:lncRNA
CUAGAGUUAGUCUGUUAGUUGACAGGGGGUAGUCCAGACUAGGAUGUGGUACUAGAGUUAGUCUGUUAGUUGACAGGGUGUAGUCCAGACUAGGGUUUGGGGUGUUUUACUGUCAGACGGCUGUGUGAACAGAACAGAGCUGUGUGAGCUUAAUGGUUACAGCAUCGACCCACUCCACUUCAGCCUGGGGGGGGGCUGUAUGCUCCCAUACAGUACACUAUACUCAUGACAUAACCUUUAACCUUUAACCUCUUCUCUAGAUUUUGUAUUUGUUAAUGUAUUUAUUUCUGUAUUUAUUUUGCCAACUUAAGUUUCUCUUUUCAACUGUUACUGCAGAUACUGUUUACCUGUAUGUCUACAUGGAAUGGAAAUAGCCAAAGAUUGACUAGUUUGUUUAUUUUGUUGGGGGGGGGGGCAGUUAUUUAGACUUUUUAUAAAUCUCAUGUCCAGAUACACACCUCUUGAUGAACAAAUGUUAGAGUAUGUUAACUACCUCCCCUUUCUUCCCAGGUAAUGUUUAGAAGUGUCUGUCCCACCCCUAUCAUUACCACAAACACACGGGGUGUUAUUAAUGACCUCUGUCAGCUGUCAAUCAUCCUCUUACUGAGACCUGACUCUCAUGUUAGCCCCACCCCCCAAAAAAAGUUCCACCAUUGCUCAUUGGUGGAGUUAGUUUUGCAUGGCCCCGGUGCCUUGUGUGGGUGGAGAUUUCACUUAAGAACCAAUGGAAUGGUCUAAAAUGAGCAAACCCAGGCCAUCGGACCAUGCAAAAUUAACUCCACCAAUCAUCGGGCGUUCUGUGAAUGUCACAAAUAUUACCUGCCUGCCAUUGGCUGGAAGAGAAAAUUGAAAGGUGGGCCAUCCAAUAAUAUCACGUAGAUGGAGAAGGGGGUGGAUGGAGUAUGCACCACGUGCCAAGUAAUGCAGUGUUCACUUGAUUUGUUCCUGUCUUUCAUUUAGUUUCUUUCGUUUUCUUUGUUUGUUUUUUUGACAAGUGAACUCUGACACUCAAACUGUUUUAAUCUCACUGUAAGUUAGAAAACCAUAACAGCAGUUUGUAAAGAAAGUCCUAACACCAGAGCAUGUAUUUACAGUACAAUCAAAAUAAACUAGACCUUGAGUUGUGCAUUUUUAUGUAUGAAAAGAUUAAUAUACGUAAAGUAUGCAUCAUUCAUAUUAUAAUGCUGCGAAAAUGUUGAAUAUACUUGUACUAAUAUUAGAAUUUUGUAUAUAAAGUAUUAAUGAGUAAUCUC